CUGGUGACUGUUCUGUAUAUCAAGCAUGGUAGUUGCAAAGACACAAUCACAAAAACCUGGAUCCUCAGUUUGAACAAUGGUAACUAGUUUAGGGAACAAGUACCUUAACGCUGGUGCCCUUGUGGAGAGGUUACUGCUGAACUGAGGAGUAAGGAAGUCAGCCUUUGAAGAACUCAAAUUUCAGUCACUAUGAGAAGUGCCAUUUUCCAGGCAGUGUUAUUCAGCAUGUCAAUAAAUGGCAUUAAUUACUUGAUGGGAAGAAAAGGGAUAUUUUGAAGGCAUUCUGUGAAACAACCAUUGUCAACAAGAAUUAUGACAGCUUUAUGACUGGAAACACAACCUGAUGUGACUACAGCAAAGAACACUGAUUUGCAUGAGACUUUGAGUAUUGCUGGAUUGAGCACCAUCUGAAUACAAGUUGCUCAGCAGAAAUCUCUGAAAAAGACAACACAAUCAUUUAUGA